UUUGUUAGCAAGGCCUUAGAUGCGUAUACAAGGGAACGAGAAAAUCAAGAUUCACUUUCUUGUUUUCAAGAAAAUCAAGAAACCGAAUCUUGGCCCAAUUUUGCUGUUUGGAGCGAUUUCAAGAAUAAAGAAAAUCAAGAUUUCAAAUCUUGGAAAUCUUGGUCCAAGAAACCGAAUCUUGCAGUCAAAACGCAUUGGAUCUCCGUUACGAGCAUCAAUGACCUAAUUUCGGUAGGAGAUGGAUCGCAAGCCCAAAUUCUUU
rnacentral:lncRNA from 1 species